AAAGCCAAGCCCCAGGCAGGGUCAGCGGCCUCCCCUGGGCUGCAGACCCUAACCACAGAGACGCCCUGAAGAGAUCGAAUGGAGAGCAAAUGCUUAAAACAGGGAGGACCAGGUCUCUGGACAAGGCCACAGAGGAGCCCGAGCUGCUGUGGGGGUGGCCAACAACUGUGCUUGGCAGGAAGCAGGUGCUUGGGAAGAAGUUGGGGCAGCAGAGAAAUGGGACGCAGUCGGCACCACUGUGGAACAUUUAGUUUGCGGGGACUCU